rnacentral:lncRNA from 1 species
GGCGCCGAGUGUCUCCGUGUCCCUCUGCCCCAGCCGGCGGCCGCGAUGGUGGAGCUUGGCCUCUCGCUCUCUCCCGCCUCUCCAGCGACUGCUCUGCCGGCCGCGGAGGUCGGAUCGAGCGGUCAUUCAUUCAUUUGUUAAUUCGUUCACUUAUUCAGGGGAGAUCAUUGAACCCCUACGGAGUACCGGGUACUGGGCCGGGCGCUGAGGACGCGGGGCUGAGCAAAAGCAGCCGAGGCCCACCUUCGUGCCCCUUAAAACCCAGCGUGCGGGGCGGCAACGAGUACUGCUUUUCUGUUUUGCACUUAAAAUUUACAUUUUGCAUCCGUACUUUUUAUUUACUGUGCACCCUUACGGCAUGCUUUACGCACCCGUACCUGCACCUCCUAGCCUUGAGUGUAGACACCAGAUCCUGAGAUGGGCGAUUUUUCGAGAAUAAUUUUUACCCUAAGUGGAUUUUCGUGCCACGCAUGGACUUGGAACUACACACACGUAGUCCAAAACGUGAAAGUCAAAAUGCAGCUUUGCCAAGUGGCAGGGAGAAAGGAGAGCUGAGAAGAUGAGGAGAGGAAGGGCGCGCUCCAGGCUUUCCAGCCCGGGUGCGGUAGACGUAGCCCUGAAGGAUGAACCCAGGCUGGUAGUAGGGCGGCGGGAGGGCGGGGGGACCUGUCAGUCAAGUCCAAAGCAGAAACGCGGCGCCGGAUCCCAGUCAGAGGCCGGCUGGAACGCUUCCCACAGGCUCCUGGCGCUCCGGUCCCCACCAGGCGACCUUGAUCCUGGCGUGCUCAGCGGAGCCAGCGCAGCGUCGGGAGCUGGAGAGACGCGGGGCGCCGGCUGAGCGCUCCUGCCCUCUGCCUCUGGGCUAGCCUCUGGCCCGGCCUCCCGGCCUCCCCCAGGGUACGCUCUCCCCCAAGAGCGAACACCAGCUUUGGGAUCGCCAGCAGCCACGUCUCUGCUUCUAGAUCUCUUUUUUUUUUCUUUGAGACUUAGUUGAUAGCUGUUUAAGGAAUUAUGUGGAGGAAAUCUCACCUCCGACCCCCGCCCCCGUUGAGCACGGCCGGCCAGGGUCGCUGGGUGGGCCAGGAGGAAAGAAAGGGGCGGGGAAGAAGCAGCAAUUUUACUUUAAAUUAAAAUGACACAAAAAUAUUUUUUCAACUCAGAUCUUUCUGAGACAUCCCCAGAAAGCGUUGCAAGCUGUGAUUACACCUAAUGUGAGAGCAUGAACUAAUUUAAGAGGUGAGAGCUGCAUAAUGAGGCUGCCUCCCGUGUAGCAGCCAAGACUGGCAGCUCUGGCGGCGCGCUGGAGGGGACCGGGAGGGGCACCCUUGUAGAACCAGUCCCUGGCGCCCUGGGAUCUUCUCAGUGCCCUGGCGCUGUGUUGUCGGUCACUCCACAGAUAUUACAGGGUGCCUCCUGAAUGCCGGGUUGCAAUCAAGAGCAAGAGAUGGGGCGAGUGAAAGAGCCUGUUUUCAGGAGCUCAGCAUCAGGAUGACGAUUACCUAGAGGGAGGUGGUGGCCAGCCUCCCCCUCUUCUCUUCAUGCUGAGGCUCUGGUGGGCAGUGCCCAAGCCUGAACUGCCAUCUGUAUGCCAGUGGUUACCCAACUUGUAUUUUCAGUCUUAGCCUCUCUCUGGUCCAGACUUGUCAUUCUAAGGGCCCUUUUUCACUGACUCACAUUGUCUCCUCCCUCCCUGCCUUCCAAACUCAGCCUUUUCCUUUUUCCCUUUCCCACUGACAACAGCUGCACGACCCCCCCGCCCCCCCACGAGGUGAAAAUUCCCAAGAACCCCAUGUCUAACCUAACUCCCUCUCUAUGUCCUGUUGCUUGAGCCAUUCUCAUUAGGCUGCCUGUUCGGAGUUCAUUAUCUCCUAAUUUUUCAUCCAGGAAUUGAUGAAGAAUCACCUACUGCCUCUCCCACACACUGUUUAUUCUUUCAUUUGAUGAUAUCUGUUAAGUGCCCUGAGAUAUGUAACCUCCACUUCCCUCCCAUAUAAGUGAGAUUUCACGUUGAUUACUUCCUUGGCUUUCCUCAUCCCUUAUCCACAUAGCAUGUGUUCAAAAUAAUGAAUAUUAAUUUAAUGUUAAUAGAUAUGUGCUUUCCUGAAUUGUGAGGAUUAAAUGAAAUCAUGUAUAUAGGGAGGAAAAUCCAUUAGAAACCUCAAAAGCAGUUAUGUUUAUUUUUGCUAUUGUCACAUUGUUAGAGUCAGAAUUCUUUUAGCUGCAAGUGACAAAACCAACUCAAACUGGCUUAAGGACUUUAUUGGUUGAUGCAAAAAGCCUCGGGUUAGGUCUUGCCAUUUAAGGUAGGGCUGGAUCCAUCAAUCCGGGUUACCAGGAUCUGUUUUCUAGUUGUGGCUUCAUUUUCAGACAAGUUGUUUCCAUAUGAUAGCCUCAUAGAAGGUACUACCAGCUUAGUCCUAGCAAGAAAAAAGAGUACUUACUCUUCAAUAUUUGCAGCAGAAGUCCCAGGUCUGUUCUUAUGAGGGCAGUUUGAGUCACUUGCUCUUCUCUGAACGUGGAGAAGGCACUGUUUAGAUGAUGGAGGUUGGAUUCAGGUGCAUCCCCUGGAAUGGGGUUUGGCAUUAGCUUCACGUGGUCUAGAAUAAAGGGGUUCUCCAAAGGAAAAUUAGGGUAGGAAUGCUGAGUAAGCAGAACAAACAGAUGUCUACUUUAGUCCUUCCCAAAGGGUGAGCUGCAAUACAUUGCAGACUAUCAGAAUGGUGAUGAACACGGAUGCAGUAGCCAAGAAAAUAGAUGUGUGUUUGUCGUGGUCUUUUUCAGUCUUCAAGAUCUCAGUUAAACAUGAAGUCAACCACUCACUAUGAUGUUAUUUGAGGUUUAGCUUUGAAGUGGAAAUGUACCACAAAUAGUAGAGCCAGAUAAAUACAAAUAAAUAAUUUUAACAGUCCAUUCUAAAAGAUUUCUUUGGUAAUAUUCUGUUGGAAUUGAUUUCUAUCUUUUCAUUUGUUAGGUUCCUGGAAAGUGAAAAUUUCAUUUCUUUGUGGACAGGUACCUAAAAUGUCUCAUUAUUCAUCAAUUAAUGAAAAACAAAUGAAAAUUUGAGAGAGAUAUUCUGAAGAAUAAAAGGAUCAAGUUGGGUCAUUUCUAAAAUCUCAGAGACCUAAUAGGAUGGGGUCUUAGAGAAACAUCUUUUGAGCCACAGACUUCUUUGUUACCAGAAGGAAAAUGAAAGAAGAAAUUUAAAUACCACUUGAAGAGAGCUGAUCGCCACCAACUGGCCUCUGGGUGGAUUUGGCCAAUGGAAGCACCUGUAGAGGGAAGAGAGUGAGGUUAGGAUAUUUCUUCCUGCUGUCUCCGUGCUUCCCUGCAGAGAGUGUGAAGAAAUGACCCUGAAAAGCCUCUGGCAGAGGAUUCUUCUUUCAGGAUGGUGUCGCCUCCUCAGCAGCCCAUCCUCCUCCCCUGGACUCAAGCUCUCAUUCCAGUAACACUCCUUCCUCCUUCUCCAUCUUCAGGGGGAGGUUUGCCAGUCGGUGGGUUCUAAGCAUAUCUCGCUGAUUCCCCCCAACCCUGCCGACACCUCUGUAGGUCGUCCCUUCAUUAAAAUCUCUCCAUUUGAACUAUCUGAGUUUAAUUCCAUUUCCUCCUGGUAUCUCAGUGAUACACGGUAUCAGUACAAAAAUCUCGCUUCACCUUCAGAACCAACAGAUUUGAGACAUUUUAUCCUCUGUGGAACCAUUAGUUAUUUUGUCAUUGGUUGUAUCAGAAAAAAAAAUCAGGAAUGCAAAUCCUUCUUUAUUACAGAUUCAGAUUUGCAUAUUACCAAUGUUAUAUAUUUUAAACAAAACUAUUCAUCAUAAGUUUUAAAAAUUAACUACUGGAGUAGUUAAUGAAUCUGAAUGUAAUUAUGUAGCUUUCAUAAUAUUAAAGUAAAAAUACUAAAAGAAGUAUUUCUUAAAGAAGCAAAUGCUCAAUCUCCAAGUAAAUUUUAUUCUAUGCUCUUCCGGUAUAAGAAUAUGUUAAUAUCUUGAAAAAUAUCAUAUUAUUUUGUGAACUCAUAAAGCUAUUUUGAGUUUUUGUAAAAUGAAAACCUUACCAAAAUGUAUUUUAUUGUUGGAAAGCUUGACCGUUACUGCUGUUUAAUUUUUUGAGCUUGUAAACUUUAUUUGUGCAUGUUUUCAACAAAGAAGGAUUUUAUUGUUAUUACAUAAAACAGGUGAUUUCUAGAUUUUAAAAUCACAAAUUGAAAGCAAGGCACAAUAAUAUAUAUUUCAAGAUAUAGGUACUUAGGAGGCAUCCUUUUAGUCAUCUGUUCAAUGUAGCCAUCUAUUUUACACCUACUGUCUACUAUUGUUUGAGGUCCUUGCCAAAGUAUUGCAGGCUAGUUAGGAAACAUAAAACAAUUAGAAAGUAAUCUAUGACAAGUAAGCUAUCUAUAAAUGGCAAUGAAGGGUAGAACAAAUUCAAUGAAAAUAUCUAUUUAAUCCUAGUGUUUACUGGUCUAGAAGAAUAGGCUGAGUAAAUUAGUAUUUCUCUGGCUGUUGUGGUAACACAUUGCAUGCUAUAACAGUUUUAAGUAAUUACAGGUGCAUUGAAAUUUAUCUAUGGCUUUGUCAUCAUAUUCUAAAAUGUCAUGAGUACUUUUUUCUGACCUCAAUUACUAUGAAAUUGGUUUCCAAUAUUUAAUUAACCAAGAAUAUCAAGUCUAUAGGGUAUUAUUAAGGUGAGACUUCUGUAGCCUUUUCAAUAAAGACCAGAAUUUUGGAGUGCCUUGAACCUUAAUCAUUGAUCUUUAAUUCUUAUUAAGUCAACUGCCCACCUUUUAAAGACUGAGGCCCAGGAAGAGUAAGUUUCUCUGAGACAAUGCAUACAGUACAGUGCUUCUUGGGUAUUGGCUCUAAGACCAGAUGCAAAGAAAGGCUAAAAUCCCAUUUCAUUGUUCAUUAGGUGAGAACCCUUUGUUAAGCUGUGUAACCUCUGUGCAUAGUUUCCUCAUCAGCAAAGUCAGAAAAAGUAUGUACCUGAAGGACUGAUUGUAAGGCUGGGAUGAGAGAAUCCAUGUGAUCAGCCCUCACCAACAGGUGCUGCCCAGUUCAUGAGUGCUGCUGCUGUCCUGCCCAAGUACCCAGCUUGCAGAGUGCCAGAGUUAGAGUCCCAGGGGUGUUCUCCACAGCUGCAUGCUUGAUCCAGGCCUAUCAGGUGUUAUUUGUUGACGGAACCAGGCAUCAUCAGCAAACAAAACUGACAAAGCUUCCUGCCCUCUGUGGAAGGCAUCUGAGGAAGAGACUGGAUUUUGUAGCAACAUGUUAUUCUCAUUAUAAACUUUAUCAUUGGAAUACUAAAGCCAAAUCAUCCCCCAUCUCCUUGAUCAGGAUACCCACUUAAUCUAGGCAGCUACACAAUUGUGAGAGCCUUUGUUUUUUUCUGCUGAAACAUCCUUAAAAAGAUACCUCACAACCCAAGAUUUGGCUUUUCUUAAAUACGAUUUUUAAUUUUUUUCAUUUCUAUCUAGAGAUUUAAUUGGAAAUGGAAAAUCAUCAAUUUUCCAAUUAAAUGUCUGUUCCAAUCAACAUUAUACCUUUUAGGUUGUCAUUGUCAUUUUUAAGUUUAAGCAACUUUAAGGAUUUUGAAUCUGGCUGCCUGUAAAUUAAAGGUGAAAGUAAUCA